rnacentral:snRNA from 1 species
ACUAGAAGAUCCUUUAGGC